GUCCUAUUGAUAUUAAUUUUAGGUCUGACCUGCCCACUGAAAAUUUAAAUGGCCGCAGUAUUUUGACUGUGCUAAGGUAGCAUAAUCAUUAGUUUCUUAAUUGGAAGCUGGAAUGAAGGGUUUGAUGAAAAAUACACUUUCUUUUUUAUAAUUUUUUUGAAUUUUAUUUUUAAGUUAAAAAGCUUAAAUUUUUUAGGGGGACGAGAAGACCCUAUAGAGUUUUAUUAUUAAAGUUUUAAUAUAGUUUUAGAAUUUACAUUUUAUGGUUUUAAUAAUUUGAUUGGGGUGAUUAUAAAAUAGGAAAAACUUUUAUUUUACACUAACGUUAAUUUACGGUAAAUUGAUCCUAAAACUAGAUUAAAAGAUAAGUUACCUUAGGGAUAACAGCGUAAUUAUUUAUAGAGUUCUUAUCGAAUAAAUAGAUUGCGACCUCGAUGUUGGAUUAGAAUAGAUUUUAGGUGUAGCAGCUUAACAAUCGGGUCUGUUCGACCCUUAAAUUUCUACA
rnacentral:rRNA from 1 species